rnacentral:rRNA from 1 species
UAUUUUUAAAGGGCCGCGGUAUACUGACCGUGCGAAGGUAGCAUAAUCAUUAGUCUUUUAAUUGAAGGCUUGUAUGAAUGGUUGGACAAAAAGUAAUCUGUCUCAGUUAUAAUAGUUGAACUUAACUUUUAAGUGAAAAGGCUUAAAUACUUUAAGGGGACGAUAAGACCCUAUAAAACUUAACAAUAAUUUGAUUAAAUUAUAAAUUGUUAGUAUAACUUGAUUUUAAUUAAUGUUUGUUGCGUUGGGGCGACGGGAAUAUAAUUAGUAACUGUUCUUAAAUAUUUUAUUAACAAGUAUAAUUGAAGAAUAAUUGAUCCUUUACUAAAGAUUAAAAGAUUAAGUUACUUUAGGGAUAACAGCGUAAUCUUCUUUGAGAGUCCUCAUCGACAAGAAGGUUUGCGACCUCGAUGUUGAAUUAAGGUAUCCUUAUAAUGCAG